AAGCUCCGGCCGGCAGGCCAGUCGCGAAUGGACUUCGGUCUUCUGUGGUGGGGCGGCCCCCGGCGGCCCCCGAGGCGGGCCGAGCCCAGCUCAGUCCCGGGGCCGCGAAUGUUUGCUGCGGUUUGCUGUUACUCAAGACACGGUCGAAGGACGAAGUGGAUCAAAGAGUGAGGGUUCGACACCUCGGCUAUAUUGUGUACACAGGAGUACAGUCGGAGUGCGCGAAGCACAGUCGGGGAGUACACUCGGACGCGGAGGACGCUCGAAGAGAAGACGAGUUGUCGACCUCUUGCCAAAAGGGUGACUCGCCACAAGCGCGAAAGCCGUAAGUGCGAUGGCCAGGAAGGGGAUGCGAAGCGUCCGAAAUCGGCGAUCAUCGCAGAACGUUUUAUUGUCUACUAGGCGCAAUUUUCCGAAUUUCAACACCAGGGUUUUCACGGGUCCCUUAAAUCAACUGUAAUCCAUCGGGUCAAGGCUGUAGCGUGGGUAACAGCGUCAGAAAGUGAAAGAGCCCUGGGGGGAGGCGAUGUACCGGAGCUACUCCCGCGCUCAGACCCAAGCGUAUACGAACUGAAUUUAGCACCAACCGGCGGCCGGGCGUCUCUGAAACGGCCGAAGGCUUAUCGGGUAACCCAUGGCGUGUCUCAGCUCGACGCGUGAGCAUGAGUCAGUAGCAUCGUCCAGAUACGUGGGUGCAGACACCCAAGACACCCGCGUAUCCGGACGCAGAUCAGUACCUGCUGACGCUGACCCGAGGCAGAGUCGUGCCACAUGACGCAAGGGCAAGGCCGCUGGGAGAGCUCGUGGUGACUCAGGAAGGACGUUGCCAGAUCAGAUGGACAUGAUCUGCAGAGUUGGUGAAGAGCUACUGUCGCCAACCUAGGUGCCCUCCUCUGGCCUGGUGCGAGAGAGACGUAGACAGAACCCUGAAACUUUAAGAAGGCCAGAGUGAGCAGGCCCUGAUAUACUCUACCAUCCGCCAAUAAACAAAUCUUAUCAAAAGUCAUCUGAGCCGACUUGCACUUGGCGCCACAAACGUUUCCCGGGGCGACGGUAAUGAUAGCGCCUGCGAAGCGCUGGGUAGGCCAACCCGCGAGGCACCUGUGUGGAGAGGGCGGCCCACCCAGAGUGCCCGAUCCCAAGCGUGGAAACUUAAGCAUUACCUCGUGUUACCUCGGGGCGUGGGGCGUUUAUUAUCCAGUUUUCAUUUAACUGUGCCACGACUUGGAUUGGG